AACAAUGUGCUUGAUAAAAAAGAAUGUCUUGAUAGGACAGAUAAUGAGAAUUUUUCUCCAUUGUUA
rnacentral:tRNA from 1 species